GACGAACGCUGGCGGCGUGCUUAACACAUGCAAGUCGAACGGAAAGGCCCUGCUUUCGUGGGGUGCCCGAGUGGCGAACGGGUGAGUAACAUGGGAGUAACCUGCCCUUGACUUUGGGAUAACUUCAGGAAACUGGGGCUAAUACCGGAUAGGAGCUCCCGCUGCAUGGUGGGGGUUGGAAAGUUUCGGCGGUUGGGGAUGGACUCGCGGCUUAUCAGCUUGUUGGUGGGGUAGUGGCCUACCGAGGCCUAGAUGGGUAGCCGGCCUGGGAGGGUGACCGGGCUCAUGAGGACUGAGGUACGGCCCAGACUGCUACAGGGGACAACGGUGGGAAGUAUUGCACAGUGAGCGGGAGCCUGAGAAGGCGACGCCGCGUUCGGGAUGACGGCCUUCGGGUUAUGAACCGCAUUAGCCUGUGACGAAGCGGGAGUGACGGUAAUGGGUGAAGAAGCACCGGCUAACUACGUG
rnacentral:rRNA from 1 species